rnacentral:rRNA from 1 species
UUUUGGACAAUGGGCGCAAGCCUGAUCCAGCCAUUCCGCGUGAGUGAAGAAGGCCUUCGGGUUGUAAAGCUCUUUCGCAAGGGAAGAAAACUUACACAAUAACACUGUGUGAGGCUGACGGUACCUUGAUAAGAAGCACCGGCUAACUACGUGCCAGCAGCCGCGGUAAUACGUAGGGUGCGAGCGUUAAUCGGAAUUACUGGGCGUAAAGCGUGCGCAGGCGGUUUUGUAAGACAGAUGUGAAAUCCCCGAGCUCAACUUGGGAACUGCGUUUGAAACUACAAGACUAGAAUAUGUCAGAGGGGGGUAGAAUUCCACGUGUAGCAGUGAAAUGCGUAGAGAUGUGGAGGAAUACCAAUGGCGAAGGCAGCCCCCUGGGAUAAUAUGACGCUCAUGCACGGA